rnacentral:rRNA from 1 species
AGUGAACGCUGGCGGUAGGCCUAACACAUGCAAGUCGAACGGCAGCACAGGAGAGCUUGCUCUCUGGGUGGCGAGUGGCGGACGGGUGAGGAAUACAUCGGAAUCUACUCUGUCGCGGGGGAUAACGUAGGGAAACUUACGCUAAUACCGCAUACGACCUACGGGUGAAAGCAGGGGAUCUUCGGACCUUGCGCGAUUGAAUGAGCCGAUGUCGGAUUAGCUAGUUGGUGGGGUAAAGGCCCACCAAGGCGACGAUCCGUAGCUGGUCUGAGAGGAUGAUCAGCCACACUGGAACUGAGACACGGUCCAGACUCCUACGGGAGGCAGCAGUGGGGAAUAUUGGACAAUGGGCGCAAGCCUGAUCCAGCCAUACCGCGUGGGUGAAGAAGGCCUUCGGGUUGUAAAGCCCUUUUGUUGGGAAAGAAAUCCAGCUGGCUAAUACCCGGUUGGGAUGACGGUACCCAAAGAAUAAGCACCGGCUAACUUCGUGCCAGCCGCCGCGGUAA